CAGACUAUAGAUUUUUAAUUUAUAUGUGCAAUCAUGUAUUUUGGCAAACUAGUUUAAUUAAUAUAUCUUGCAUUUUUAGUGCUUUUUGUCUUAUUGAACAUUUUAAAAAUAUUUUUUUGUAUAGAUAGAAAAUCAUCACAAUAUCUUUUUUUAAAAUUUAUAAGCAUUUUUAACGGCACAAAUUAUAAUUGAUUAUCUAAAUCUCUAAAUUUGGAUGGAUUCUUGAACUUUAAACUUUUAAUGUUUAGUGUAUAAUAUACCUCCAAAAGCUAAAACUUUGGCCAA
rnacentral:lncRNA from 1 species